ACGAACGCUGGCGGCGCGCCUAACACAUGCAAGUCGAACGAGCGAUAGAGAGCUUGCUUUCUCGAGCGAGUGGCGAACGGGUGAGUAACGCGUGAGGAACCUGCCUCAAAGAGGGGGACAACAGUUGGAAACGACUGCUAAUACCGCAUAAGCCCACGGCUCGGCAUCGAGCAGGGGGAAAAGGAGCAAUCCGCUUUGAGAUGGCCUCGCGUCCGAUUAGCUAGUUGGUGAGGUAACGGCCCACCAAGGCAACGAUCGGUAGCCGGACUGAGAGGUUGAACGGCCACAUUGGGACUGAGACACGGCCCAGACUCCUACGGGAGGCAGCAGUGGGGAAUAUUGCACAAUGGGGAAACCCUGAUGCAGCGACGCCGCGUGGAGGAAGAAGGUCUUCGGAUUGUAAACUCCUGUUGUUGGGGAAGAUAAUGACGGUACCCAACAAGGAAGUGACGGCUAACUACGUG
rnacentral:rRNA from 1 species